UUGUCUUAGUUGCUACGAAAAAACAUCUAAGGAGACUGCCGGUGACAAACCGGAGAAAGGUGGGGAUGACGUCAAAUCAUCAUGGCCCUGUAUGGGUAGGGCUUCAUACGUCAUACAAUGGUCGGAACAGAAGGCUGCCAACCCGUGAGGGGGAUCUAAUCCCAUAAAACCGAUCGUAGCUCCGGAUCGUACUCUGCAACUCGACUACGUGAAACUCGUAAUCGCUAGUAAUCGCGUAUCAGCAUGUCGCCGUGAAUACGUGCCCGGGUCUUGUGCUCACCGCCCGUCACACCAUGGGAGUGUGUUUUUCGAUAAGUGGCGAAUUUAACCGCCUGGACGCCUGGCACACGGUACGAUUCAUGAAUGCGGUAAAGUCGUUAAUGGUAACCGUNUCGGAAUGU
rnacentral:rRNA from 1 species